CUACUUUUGACAUGGUCAGAACCCUGCUGAAAGGUGGGGGGGGAGUGUUCGAAAGAGAACCGAUACACAGGUGUUGCAUGGCUGUCGUCAGUUUGUGUCGUGAGAUGUUGGGUUAAGUCCUGCAACGAGCACAACCCUUGUCCUUAGUUGCUACGCAAGAGCACUCUAGGGAGACUGCUGGUGACAAACCGGAAGGUUGGGGAUGACGUCAAGUCCUCAUGGUCCUUAUGGGUAAGGCUUCACACGUCAUACAAUGGUCGGAAGCCAGAGGGCCGCCAACCCGUGAGGGGGGGGAUAAUCCCAGAAAACCGAUCGUAGUCUGCAACUAGACUACUUGAAGCUGGAAUCGAUAGUAAUUGCGGAUUAGCAAGGCGCGGUGAAUACGUUCCCGGGUACUGCUGUAUACACCGCUCGUCACACCAUGGGAGUGGAUUUUCCAGAAGUGGCUAGUCUAACCGCAAGGAGGACGGUCAUCACGGUAGGAUUUAUGACUGAGGUGAAGUCGUAACAAGGUAGCGGUAUCGGAAGGUGCGGGUGGAUCACUUUUUUU
rnacentral:rRNA from 1 species